CAUAGGUUAAUGAGGCGAACCGGGGGAACUGAAACAUCUAAGUACCCCGAGGAAAAGAAAUCAACCGAGAUUCCCCCAGUAGCGGCGAGCGAACGGGGAGGAGCCCAGAGCCUGAAUCAGUGUGUGUGUUAGUGGAAGCGUCUGGAAAGGCGCGCGAUACAGGGUGACAGCCCCGUACACAAAAAUGCACAUGCUGUGAGCUCGAUGAGUAGGGCGGGACACGUGGUAUCCUGUCUGAAUAUGGGGGGACCAUCCUCCAAGGCUAAAUACUCCUGACUGACCGAUAGUGAACCAGUACCGUGAGGGAAAGGCGAAAAGAACCCCGGCGAGGGGAGUGAAAAAGAACCUGAAACCGUGUACGUACAAGCAGUGGGAGCCUCUUAAUGGGGUGACUGCGUACCUUUUGUAUAAUGGGUCAGCGACUUAUAUUCUGUAGCAAGGUUAACCGAAUAGGGGAGCCGAAGGGAAACCGAGUCUUAACUGGGCGUUAAGUUGCAGGGUAUAGACCCGAAACCCGGUGAUCUAGCCAUGGGCAGGUUGAAGGUUGGGUAACACUAACUGGAGGACCGAACCGACUAAUGUUGAAAAAUUAGCGGAUGACUUGUGGCUGGGGGUGAAAGGCCAAUCAAACCGGGAGAUAGCUGGUUCUCCCCGAAAGCUAUUUAGGUAGCGCCUCGUGAAUUCAUCUCCGGGGGUAGAGCACUGUUUCGGCAAGGGGGUCAUCCCGACUUACCAACCCGAUGCAAACUGCGAAUACCGGAGAAUGUUAUCACGGGAGACACACGGCGGGUGCUAACGUCCGUCGUGAAGAGGGAAACAACCCAGACCGCCAGCUAAGGUCCCAAAGUCAUGGUUAAGUGGGAAACGAUGUGGGAAGGCCCAGACAGCCAGGAUGUUGGCUUAGAAGCAGCCAUCAUUUAAAGAAAGCGUAAUAGCUCACUGGUCGAGUCGGCCUGCGCGGAAGAUGUAACGGGGCUAAACCAUGCACCGAAGCUGCGGCAGCGACACUAUGUGUUGUUGGGUAGGGGAGCGUUCUGUAAGCCUGUGAAGGUGGCCUGUGAGGGUUGCUGGAGGUAUCAGAAGUGCGAAUGCUGACAUAAGUAACGAUAAAGCGGGUGAAAAGCCCGCUCGCCGGAAGACCAAGGGUUCCUGUCCAACGUUAAUCGGGGCAGGGUGAGUCGACCCCUAAGGCGAGGCCGAAAGGCGUAGUCGAUGGGAAACAGGUUAAUAUUCCUGUACUUGGUGUUACUGCGAAGGGGGGACGGAGAAGGCUAUGUUGGCCGGGCGACGGUUGUCCCGGUUUAAGCGUGUAGGCUGGUUUUCCAGGCAAAUCCGGAAAAUCAAGGCUGAGGCGUGAUGACGAGGCACUACGGUGCUGAAGCAACAAAUGCCCUGCUUCCAGGAAAAGCCUCUAAGCAUCAGGUAACAUCAAAUCGUACCCCAAACCGACACAGGUGGUCAGGUAGAGAAUACCAAGGCGCUUGAGAGAACUCGGGUGAAGGAACUAGGCAAAAUGGUGCCGUAACUUCGGGAGAAGGCACGCUGAUAUGUAGGUGAAGCGACUUGCUCGUGGAGCUGAAAUCAGUCGAAGAUACCAGCUGGCUGCAACUGUUUAUUAAAAACACAGCACUGUGCAAACACGAAAGUGGACGUAUACGGUGUGACGCCUGCCCGGUGCCGGAAGGUUAAUUGAUGGGGUUAGCGGUAACGCGAAGCUCUUGAUCGAAGCCCCGGUAAACGGCGGCCGUAACUAUAACGGUCCUAAGGUAGCGAAAUUCCUUGUCGGGUAAGUUCCGACCUGCACGAAUGGCGUAAUGAUGGCCAGGCUGUCUCCACCCGAGACUCAGUGAAAUUGAACUCGCUGUGAAGAUGCAGUGUACCCGCGGCAAGACGGAAAGACCCCGUGAACCUUUACUAUAGCUUGACACUGAACAUUGAGCCUUGAUGUGUAGGAUAGGUGGGAGGCUUUGAAGUGUGGACGCCAGUCUGCAUGGAGCCGACCUUGAAAUACCACCCUUUAAUGUUUGAUGUUCUAACGUUGGCCCGUAAUCCGGGUUGCGGACAGUGUCUGGUGGGUAGUUUGACUGGGGCGGUCUCCUCCUAAAGAGUAACGGAGGAGCACGAAGGUUGGCUAAUCCUGGUCGGACAUCAGGAGGUUAGUGCAAUGGCAUAAGCCAGCUUGACUGCGAGCGUGACGGCGCGAGCAGGUGCGAAAGCAGGUCAUAGUGAUCCGGUGGUUCUGAAUGGAAGGGCCAUCGCUCAACGGAUAAAAGGUACUCCGGGGAUAACAGGCUGAUACCGCCCAAGAGUUCAUAUCGACGGCGGUGUUUGGCACCUCGAUGUCGGCUCAUCACAUCCUGGGGCUGAAGUAGGUCCCAAGGGUAUGGCUGUUCGCCAUUUAAAGUGGUACGCGAGCUGGGUUUAGAACGUCGUGAGACAGUUCGGUCCCUAUCUGCCGUGGGCGCUGGAGAACUGAGGGGGGCUGCUCCUAGUACGAGAGGACCGGAGUGGACGCAUCACUGGUGUUCGGGUUGUCAUGCCAAUGGCACUGCCCGGUAGCUAAAUGCGGAAGAGAUAAGUGCUGAAAGCAUCUAAGCACGAAACUUGCCCCGAGAUGAGUUCUCCCUGAGACUUAGAGUCUCCUGAAGGAACGUUGAAGACGACGACGUUGAUAGGCCGGGUGUGUAAGCGCAGCGAUGCGUUGAGCUAACCGGUACUAAUGAACCGUGAGGCUUAACCUUACAACGCCGAAG
rnacentral:rRNA from 1 species